GACGAACGCUGGCGGCGUGCCUAAUACAUGCAAGUCGAGCGAACCAAUAAGAAGCUUGCUUUUUGUUGGUUAGCGGCGGACGGGUGAGUAACACGUGGGUAACCUGCCUGUAAGACCGGGAUAACUCCGGGAAACCGGUGCUAAUACCGGAUAGAUUAUCUUUCCGCAUGGAGAGAUAAGGAAAGAUGGCUAUUGCCAUCACUUACAGAUGGGCCCGCGGCGCAUUAGCUAGUUGGUGAGGUAACGGCUCACCAAGGCGACGAUGCGUAGCCGACCUGAGAGGGUGAUCGGCCACACUGGGACUGAGACACGGCCCAGACUCCUACGGGAGGCAGCAGUAGGGAAUCUUCCGCAAUGGACGAAAGUCUGACGGAGCAACGCCGCGUGAGCGAAGAAGGUCUUCGGAUCGUAAAGCUCUGUUGUUAGGGAAGAACAAGUAUCGGAGGAAAUGCCGGUACCUUGACGGUACCUGACGAGAAAGCCACGGCUAACUACGU
rnacentral:rRNA from 1 species